GGGAAUUUUCCGCAAUGGGCGAAAGCCUGACGGAGCGAUGCCGCGUGAGUGAUGACGGCCUUCGGGUUGUAAAACUCUUUUCUGAGGGACGAUUUUAGACGGUACCUCAGGAAUAAGUGACUGCUAACUACGUGCCAGCAGCAGCGGUAAUACGUAGGUCACAAGCGUUAUCCGGAAUUAUUGGGCGUAAAGGGUGUGUAGGCGGUUUCAUAAGUCCAUCGUAAAAGCCUCUGGCUCAACCAGAGAACUGCGGUGGAUACUGUGAGACUUGAGUGGAUGAGAGGAACGUGGAAUUCCCGGUGUAGCGGUAAUAUGCAUUGAUAUCGGGAGGAACACCAGAUGCGAAGGCGACGUUCUGGCAUCCAACUGACGCUAAGACACGAAAGCUAGGGUAGCAAAAGGGAUUAGAUACCCCUGUAGUCA
rnacentral:rRNA from 1 species